rnacentral:rRNA from 1 species
UACGUAGGGGGCGAGCGUUGUCCGGAGUUACUGGGCGUAAAGCGCUUGUAGGCGGUCCACCAAGUUUGGGGUGACAGUUGCCGACUUAAUCGGCAAAGUGCCUCAAAGACUGGCGGACUUGAGGGCCACAGAGGGACAUGGAACUCCGGGAGUAGCGGUGAAAUGCGUAGAGACCCGGAGGAACACCAGUGGCGAAGGCGGCUUCCUGGUCUGCGACUGACGCUGUGGCGCGAAAGCUAGGGGAGCAAACGGG